rnacentral:rRNA from 1 species
UAGGGAAUCUUCGGCAACGGACGAAAGUCUGACCGAGCAACGCCGCGUGAGUGAAGAAGGUUUUCGGAUCGUAAAACUCUGUUGGUAGAGAAGAACGUUGGUGAGAGUGGAAAGCUCAUCAAGUGACGGUAACUACCCAGAAAGGGACGGCUAACUACGUGCUAG